GCUCCCUCAAUCAUCAUCAAGGUGUAAGGCUACCGGACAGAAGCAGUCAUUAAAUUUUAUAGGGCCUUCAAUGCUUGCUUGUCAUCUAGCAACUGUAUUGCUCCAGGUCGAAUGCCCUCAACUGUUUUUCCAAUUCUGACAAUACUAAAACUGCAUGGCAAGAGCUGUAAAAUCCCAUAAGAUUGGACCUAGUGUCACUAGCCAUUGAAUUCCCAAGACUACAUCACACCCUUUCAAUGGUAGUACCAUGAAAUCUGUGAGAAAAUCAAGCCCUUGCACUGACCAGUUCACAUUUCUACAAAUACCCGAAGUAGUUAUACUUUGAUCAUUAGCCACUGUAACCCCAAAAUUGUGUGUACUUCUUGGCAAGAUUGGAGUCCACAAAAUUGUGUGUACUUCUUGAGUCAAUCAAGAUAACCAUUGCAUUAACUCUCAUAGUUUAAUACCCAGUUGUUUCCAUCAUAGUAUGUAAAGAGAUACUUGCAUGAGUGUCACCAGCAUUAUCCAACUUUUAACACUUCUGUGCUAUCAAUGCAGUCAGAUUCGUCUUCCUUCUCUUCACACCCUUCUGUUAUCAACUAGUACAAUUGUGACUUCAUGCAUUUGUGGUCUAGACCAAUAACAUAGUCCCUUCUCCCUUUUUUCCUCCAUUUCAGCUUGAGUAAGCCUUCUAGGACCAUUCCUUUGGUUGUUGUUUUGGUUUAUACUAGUGUUUGAUUUUGGAAAGGGUGUUGGUUGUUUAGGAUUGUGCAGAUUCAAGAGGUUUGGUCUAAACGGUAUUUUAGGGUUAGGCAAUAAGGGUGGCAACUGCGGGUUCCUCAAGUUUGUUGUGGCUACUUGGGAAUUGAUAUUGGUCAUGGGAAAUUGGUGGGUGAAAUGGUUUUCUUGAAGGCAGGAUAGAGUAUACCUUCAAUCUGGUUGGCAAGGUGCAAUGUUUAGUCAAGUGUUUUUGGCUUGAAGAGUCUAAAGGUUUGUGAGAUAUCAGGCUUCGAGUUACUGAUGAAUAUGCUAACAGAAUGAUCAUCACUCAACUACAGUAGGUUAAGGAUCCCCAUGAAAUCAUCAUGGUAUUGCUCGACACUGCCAAAUUGUCUUAAAUUAACUAGGUCUACCAUGGGAUCUUCAUAUUCCCCACACACAAAUCUAUCUUGCAUCUCAGCUAUAUAUGAAUUCCACUCCAGUCUGUCAAAACCCCCUUGCCUCCUACAAUAAUGUUGAUGUCACUUUAGUGCCUUCCUUUCUAAACUAAGCAUUGCAACUCUUACCUUAGAGCUCUCAGGCACUCUUUCAACCAUAAAAUAUUGCUCUAAUUUCAUAACCCACCCUUUAAAGUCAUCCCCAUUAAACUCAGGGCAUUCCAUUUUAAAAUGUCUAAAAUUUUCAAAAGUAGGCAUUCUUACUUGUGUCACCUUUUUCGAUGUUAUCUCUCCAUGCACCAACAUGAGAUCCCUUCCAUUUCUGUCCUCGGAUUCUCCUCUCGUGCAGCCAACAGAUCAAGAAAGUUCUUAAGCUCCUCUUUAAGCUUUUUUCUGGACACAUCAAUCUUCUCAUCCCUUUUUUUUUUAUCAGUCUGUUGAAUCUUAACUUGCAGCUGCAAAACAUCUUUUUGUAAUCUGGAAGUCACACUGUCUGCCAUGGUUGCCAAGAACGUAGCUCUGAUACUUUUGUUAUAAUCCUCUGGAUUCAAUCAAUUAACUAAAGUAAUUGAAUGAAGAACAAGAACAGAAUUGAUUCAAGAAAGAAAAGAACCAAGAAAAGGGAAGAAGAAGUCUUGAGAGAAUGAGAGA
rnacentral:lncRNA from 1 species